ACGUACGACAGAACAGGCUCAAUUCCGCAAGAGAGGCAAGUAUCCGAAUUCAUACAAGGGCAAAUCAUGUGCUUUGCCCAUAUCGAGUACAGUGCGGGAUCGGAUCGUGUUCGGGCGUAAGGCCCAGAAGACAGGGACGUGGCCAGAGGACAAAGGAACAAAGGCAAAGGAAAUGAGGUCAAGAGAGAAGCUUGCAUGUGGGCGUACACGGGCAAAAGUGCGGCACAUCUGACAUCGAUCCAGAGAAGGAAGGAGAUCUACUUGCUUUCCAUGCGCGAUUCUUGCCAACCCAGAAGAAUCUGUAGAUUCUAGGGCACAACGUAUAAGGGAAGAACUACUACGCAACCCUAGCCCAGCCAAUGCCUGAUCCUAAGCUAGAGCCCUAGCCCAUGCCUUCUAUAUAAAUAUGGAUGCAUUGCCCAAUAGAGUGAGUUCUUCGACACUUAGAGACUUUCGGCUGAGAGAGAGAGGCGUGCACUGAUCCAGGCCGACCCCCUACGCGGCCACUUUCCUUUUUGUUCCUAAGUCUUUAUUUACAUGUAUUGAGAGUGUGAGGCAGAUACAAGGCCAAAAGGUUCUCGAAGCAUUGAGCAAGAUUCCAAUAUAACACCCGGUGACAUAUGCGGUCGGUAAUGCUCUGGGCAAGACAGGUUACAAGCAAUAAGUGGGUCAAAGUUUGGAGAAACCCUGCUCCACGUAGUGAGGCAAAUACAGGAGGUGGUAGUAUGCCUUUGGGCAUGCCUAUGACCAUUUGGGUCCACUAAGCCAUAAUGUAUUUUGGGCAUACCCGCACAACUACAGCUUGAUGCGGGGAAUCUACCAAGGACAAAGGGAUGAGGGGUGUACACCUCCAUCCAACAUGAAGGGCGUGGAUGAGGGCUGGGUAGGCGUAUGCACGUCACACCGUGAUAAUGGGGCACAACUCACUGAUCAAACGGACCAUAACAAAAGACAUGAAGGCACAAUGAAAAGCCUUGUACCAAUGACCGAAUGAAUUAUCAAAUACCUUACUUAGAACAUGUUCCCUUUAUUACUGAUA